UUCGAGCGUUCGCGCCAACGCUCCUACAAGUAGAACCGGGCCGCAGCCUGCUCGGUGGUAGGGUGGGUUGUCUAUGCAGGAGCGCGGCAGGUGGCGCUCGUUUCUGGGAGCGUGCUGAGGGCUGCUGCGCGCGGAGUGUCGAGUUUGUACACUGUGAGAAUUUUUGUUUGAGAGGAGGCUGGAGAGAAAACUGAAGAUUCUGAAGAUUUCUUUCUUUGGAACUUAACUGAUGUAGUGAUCAAGAGAGAGGAUGAGUAAUGAAUAUUGUGGAAUACAGAAGAGAAGGCACUGCUUGAACACCUGGAUGAAGUUGGAGGGAAGCUCACACUUAGUGGCCGCUCUGUAAGAUUAAGAAAAUUCAGAAGGAAGGGGAGAAAUGGAUGAAUUGCUGUAUGUCAUACAAGGGGCAUAACAACCCAAAUGCCCUUGGCUGUAUACUCAUCUGCACCACACACACCAGUGAUGCCUGGAUUCCUCUAGAAUCUCCAGCUGCCAAAGAAAAAAAUACCAGAAGCCCAGUUGGUGGAAAGCCCAUCACUUACUCUAGGUGAUAGAAGUCUUCUGCACCAGUAAGGAUCAGGCUGCCCGUAAGUUGC
rnacentral:lncRNA from 1 species